ACCCAACUGACGAGUCUCAAAUAGGACGAAAAGCGCGUCCUGGAU
rnacentral:hammerhead_ribozyme from 1 species